UUUUUGUUGUUUACAGUCUGAAGCAGUGAUGGAGCACCUGGUGAGGGGUGUGGCCAGCCCUGCCAGCACAGGUGGAAGCAAUUUACCUGUGGGACCGGAUAGGGCUGAGCUUGGCUCCACCCCUCCCUGCCUAUAUUUAAGGGCUGGGAAACAGCAAGGGCAGCAUUCAGCUUGGGGACUGCCUCCUUGGGAGCAUUGGGAGUGAGUUCUACCCUUUGGAAUGAGGUCUGUCAGGAGAAGGAGCAGCGACUGCACCUGGACACCGCUUCCUUUAGAAUGUGGUGUGAACCCUUGAAACAGGGGCUGUGAUCUUUCCUGUUUUUGGGGCAUCCUGACCACACUGAAGUGCUGGCAGAUGUAAGGGCAGCAUUGAUCUCUGGAGACUGUCUCCUGUGAAGCAUGGGGCUGUUAUGCACUGCAUCCAAUCAUGCAGAGUUGUUUAAGGGCAUUCUGUGCACCCUUAGGUCAGAUCUGGCUUUGUCUUUAUAGAAAGCCAAGGAUUGUCCUCUUCUGGACCGCUGUACUCAGCAUCACCCCAGCGUGAUGAAGUGGAGCCCCUGGUCUGCUGAAUACUGGGACUGGCCCAGAGAUGCUCUGUGAUGGAUGUGGGUUAUCCCAGCCGGAGUACUUGGUACCAUUGGUGGUGAUCUCGUCCAACUGCCACACAACGAACAGGAACAUCCACAGCCAGAUCAGAUUGCCCAGGGUCAGCCUCACCUUGGAAGGGACAGGGCAUCCAUCACAUGUCUGGGGACUUCACCUGACUGCCUCGACUUCUCAAAUACCACUGAGAGUGGCUCGGUGACUGCAGCACUGAAUUCCCUCAGAGCUCUGGGACUCGUCUCAUCAGGACCCAAAGACUCCUGGAUGCUCGGGUCCUCAGGUGGCAGCAGAGUUGCGUUGCUCCUGAGCGCUGUAAGGACAGCACGGAGAUGCGCGGCUCUUCAGGCAGCAGCAAGGAACCAGAAUCUGCAUUUCCUGGGAUGCCCGGAACCCCGCUUUGCUGGCUGGUAAUUGUCUGCCCAGCAGGUGAAGAUGCCUUCGACGCUUCCAGUCGAUGACUUCCCCCCUGCGACGCCAUUGGCUUUCCAGGCCUCCCACACUCACCGCCAGCUCGGUUCGGUCAACCGUUACCCGAAUCCCCGCUCCGUUCCCUUUCCAUGAUCUUCCCGUCACUCUGCCACAAGCCCCUACCAAGGUCAUCGCAGGCAGCGUGUGGGAUGCGGCGCUCGGUCUCAUUGCAGUUCAUCCCAUCGGCCUCAGCCCAGCGAUCCAACCCACCCGCACCCUUCCUGAGGGCCCUUCUGCUCCCAGGCCAAUCAACGCUUCCUUCUCAUGCCAUCUGCGUUCCUUCCAGGCCAUUUUCAGACUCCUGCCCCUUUGUGGCCAUUUUGAGAGUUGUGCUGAUUUCAGCAUGUGCAUUCAAUUGACUUCA